rnacentral:misc_RNA from 1 species
CCGAAUUGUCAACAAGAGUUGUUGCUGGUCCUCAAAACGGGGGCAUGUGCACGCUCUGUUAACACAUCCACUCACACCUGUGCACCCUCUGUGGUUCUGUGGUUGGGGGGCCUUGUCCUCUUGCUGCGGUUCUGCAUCUUUACACACACACUGUAACAAAGUCUCAUGGAAUGCAUCUAUGCGUUUAACGCGAUACAAUA